rnacentral:rRNA from 1 species
UACGGGGGGAGCAAGCGUUGUUCGGAUUUACUGGGCGUAAAGGGCGCGUAGGCGGCCUGCUAAGUCGAACGUGAAAUCCCCGGGCUCAACCCGGGAACUGCGUCCGAUACUGGCAGGCUUGAAUCCGGGAGAGGGAUGUGGAAUUCCAGGUGUAGCGGUGAAAUGCGUAGAUAUCUGGAGGAACACCGGUGGCGCAGGCGGCAUCCUGGACCAACACUGACGCUGAGUGAGCGAAAGCCAGGGGAGCAAACGGG